UACGUAGGGUGCAAGCGUUAAUCGGAAUUACUGGGCGUAAAGCGUGCGCAGGCGGUGAUGUAAGACAGAUGUGAAAUCCCCGGGCUCAACCUGGGAACUGCAUUUGUGACUGCAUCGCUGGAGUGCGGCAGAGGGGGAUGGAAUUCCGCGUGUAGCAGUGAAAUGCGUAGAUAUGCGGAGGAACACGAUGGCGAAGGCAAUCCCCUGGGCCUGCACUGACGCUCAUGCACGAAAGCGUGGGGAGCAAACAGGG
rnacentral:rRNA from 1 species